GCAGCCCUGGGGGUGCUGGGGAGAAGCUGAGUGCGAGCAGAUGGUGUGAGCUUGCAGGCCAGAAGAAGUGUGUCAGAGGUCUGUAGGUGUCUGCAGCGGUGUGCAAGCAUCUGUAGAAGUCUGCCCAGAGAUCUUAUUUGCUUUACCCAAAAUCAAGUUGGAGAGAUGUGUGGAGCCUCAGCCACAGACCCUGACUGUUGGGGGGAUGCUUUCAUGGCAGAAAGCGGAGCUGUUGGAAACCCAGUUCCUCCUUGCAAGUGGUUAAGAAUUGGAUUCCCCUGGGAAAAUGGGGACAGAGACAUCUCUCUGCUGCCUGAGUUGGCCUGGUGAAUUCAUGGGGGGAAGGGCAGGAAACUCCCAAAUGACCACAUCUGUACUUAAUAGAAUGAAGAUUAUGGAGGGAAAAGUGAGGUGACUUCAGAGCAGAGAAGUGAUGUUGCAGAGGAAAAAGCUGAGCAGGUCUAUUGGGAAGAAAACAAACUCUGGAGGAAAAAUCUGAGGUAAACAAGAGGACACAAAUGACAUUUUCUAUUCAAAAAAGUGAACAAGUCUCUAGGGGAUAAAAAUGAAGAUUGUAGGAGGAAAAAGCUGAGGUGAUUAGGUGGGACAGAGCCGACAUUGUGAAUGGAAAAACAUAAUGUAAUCCAUAGGGGAGAAAAGGAGCAUUUUUGAAGGAAACCAGGCCCUAUGCCUCUGAAACCCUGGGGCCAGACAUACCCACAGUGAUUACAGGGCAGUUCCCUCCUUGAACCUCCUGCCAGGUGAUGCAACACAGAGCCCUACUUACAGGGUGGCUGCUCUCACAUCAGCACUCCCAAAAACAACUACAAAGCACCAGCCCCUAGGCUCCUGUACACAGGGGUUGUCGCAGCUUUUGUCCUUUGUCCACCCAUGGAGGACUUCGGUGUCCCAAGGGCUCUCUGAGCCCCACACAGUCUGGCGGGGCCAAGUCUGACCCUCUUCUCUCCUGCUCUGGGGUAAGGAUGGCUGUCCCAAGAGUGGCUGCCCAGAGCUUGCUCCCUCUCCUGGGAAGAGGUGUGUGUACGGGGCCCCCCCUUGCCUCUGUGUGUGCGUGAGCGUGCUUGUCGUUGAGGUUGCUGUGAAAAGUGCUGCAGCUUAGCUUAGGCUUCCCAGGAGGGAAAGAGGGGCUCUGGGCAGUAACAGGGGAGUCUCCUUGGA